UCGCAGAUACCAGGUGGCUGCAACUGUUUAUUAAAAACACAGCACUGUGCAAAAUCGUAAGAUGACGUAUACGGUGUGACGCCUGCCCGGUGCCGGAAGGUUAAUUGAUGGGGUUAGACUUCGGUCGAAGCUCUUGAUCGAAGCCCCGGUAAACGGCGGCCGUAACUAUAACGGUCCUAAGGUAGCGAAAUUCCUUGUCGGGUAAGUUCCGACCUGCACGAAUGGCGUAAUGAUGGCCACGCUGUCUCCACCCGAGACUCAGUGAAAUUGAAAUCGCUGUGAAGAUGCAGUGUACCCGCGGCUAGACGGAAAGACCCCGUGAACCUUUACUACAGCUUGGCACUGAACAUUGACCCUACAUGUGUAGGAUAGGUGGGAGGCUUUGAAGCACGUACGCCAGUAUGUGUGGAGCCGUCCUUGAAAUACCACCCUUGUAGUGUUGAUGUUCUAACGUCGACCCCUUAUCGGGGUUGCGGACAGUGCCUGGUGGGUAGUUUGACUGGGGCGGUCUCCUCCCAAAGAGUAACGGAGGAGCACGAAGGUGGGCUAAUCACGGUUGGACAUCGUGAGGUUAGUGCAAUGGCAUAAGCCCGCUUGACUGCGAGAAUGACAAUUCGAGCAGGUGCGAAAGCAGGUCAUAGUGAUCCGGUGGUUCUGAAUGGAAGGGCCAUCGCUCAACGGAUAAAAGGUACUCCGGGGAUAACAGGCUGAUACCGCCCAAGAGUUCAUAUCGACGGCGGUGUUUGGCACCUCGAUGUCGGCUCAUCACAUCCUGGGGCUGAAGUCGGUCCCAAGGGUAUGGCUGUUCGCCAUUUAAAGUGGUACGCGAGCUGGGUUUAGAACGUCGUGAGACAGUUCGGUCCCUAUCUGCCGUGGGCGUUGGAAGAUUGAAGGGGGCUGCUCCUAGUACGAGAGGACCGGAGUGGACGAACCUCUGGUGUUCGGGUUGUGUCGCCAGACGCAUUGCCCGGUAGCUAAGUUCGGAAUCGAUAACCGCUGAAAGCAUCUAAGCGGGAAGCGAGCCCUGAGAUGAGUCUUCCCUGAUACUUUAAGUAUCCUAAAGGGUUGUCGGAGACUACGACGUUGAUAGGUCAGGUGUGUAAGUGCUGUGAGGCAUUGAGCUAACUGAUACUAAUUGCCCGUGAGGCUUAACCAUACAACAC
rnacentral:rRNA from 1 species